GGGAUAUGAUGAAGAACCUUUGGUCCGUGUUUCUGAUCAUCCGUGAUGAGUAAAUCACUCUUAUGAUUCUGAUCCC
rnacentral:snoRNA from 1 species